rnacentral:rRNA from 2 species
GCCGCGUGAGUGAAGAGGUUUUCGGAUCGUAAAACUCUGUUGUUAGUGAAGACAAGUGGCAGAGUAACAUGUUCCCACCUUGACCGUAUCUAACCAGAAAGCCACGGCUAACUACCUGCCAGCAGCCGCGGUAAUACGUAAGUCGCAAGCCUUGCCCGGAUUUUUUGGGCGUAAAGCGAGCGCAGGCGGUUUCUUAAGUCUGAUGCCUAACCCCUCAGCCCAACCGAGGAAGGUCCUUGGAAACUGGGGAACUUGAAUGCCGAAGAGGAGAGUGGAAAUCCCUGUGUAGCGGUGAAAUGCCUAGAUAUAUGGAGGAACACCCUUGGCGAAGGCUACCCUCUGGUCCGUAACCGAAGGUGAAGCACCAAAGCUUGGGGAGCUGACAGGAAUAGAUACCCUGGUAGUCCACGCCGUAAACCAUGAGUUCUAAGUGUUGAAGGGUUUCCGCCCUUUUGUGCUGCAGUCAACGCAUUAAGCACUCCGCCUGGGGAAACGGC